GGCUGGCUGUGUCCCCCGCUGCUCUGGCCUCCACUACUGCUGCCGCCUCCGCCACCGCUCAGAAAACUGAGCUCGGGGCCUGAGCUGUGGGACAAGUCAGCCAGCUCCGGAGGCAGGGAGGCCAGCAGGUCGUCGUCGGACACGCGCUCAACAAAAUUGGAAGGGACCAGGCCCCGCCGGCCGUCCAUGAGCUCCCCUGGGGAGAGGAAGACAAGAGAGGAGACAGAGAAAAACACAGCCCGAUCAAUGCAUUGUAGCAAGGCUUGAUUGUAACUCAGCUGGGUCUGAACAAGGCUGAGAUUCUGCACUUUGAACAAGCUCCCAGGCGAUGCUGCAGGGAUGAAGGAUGUCCAGGUUCUACGGAGAUGCACAUGGAGGGAACACGGGUCCGAUCCCUGGGCCAGAAAGAUUCCACAUGCCUCGGAACAACCAACCC